rnacentral:rRNA from 1 species
AUGAAAGUUAUAAGCUGGAACUGCCGGGGGCUCGGGAACGGCCCGGCAGUUUGUAGCCUCCUUGAUCUAGGGAGGACGGAGGAGCCCGACAUCCUUUUCCUGUAUGAGACUAAGCUCAUAGCAAGGGAGAUGGAUAGAUUCCGGUGGUCGUUGGGUCUUGCAACUAUGGUGGCUUGGGAUUUGGAUGGAAGAAGUAGGGGCAUUGCCUUAUUUCGGAAGCGGGGAGUAGAU